ensembl:lncRNA
GAUUUAACUUAAACUUUAUAGCUGGAGUUUUACCUGUGACUCCUUAAUUAUAUUUGCGAGGGUUAAGUUUACUUAAACAUCAGAAACCUACCCUUUCCCAACCAGUAACUUACUUACAUAAACACACUGUAUUUGUUACAUACUCGUACAUGAACUUACAUACUCAAGUCACUUGCAUUGGGUUGUCCUCAACACAGCCGGCAAGACCGUAUGACCUUAGCUAAUAGACAAUCAUAGAAAAAUAAUUCUCGAAGUGACAAACGUCCUGUUGAAGCCUAAAUUCUCAAACUUGUUCGGGAGCCUCUUCUUAUUCAGGGUCUGACAUAUUUCUCCCAAGGUACACGUUCAACAGUUGCUAUGGUAGCUCCAAACCUACUUGGGUGUGCACCCCGCGGUAGAGGGGGGAAGCUGGGUCAUUAACAUUUAAAGGAACAGGUACUCAAAACAAGUCGCUCUGAACAGGGCUGUUACAGACAUUUCAAUAAGACCCCAAGGGACCAUAUCAACUUGUGGUAAAAAUGGCCAUACGAUGACUCCCUUACGGAAUGACAGUUCUGAUAGUAAGUGGCUAAGUAACUAGCUUGCUAGUUCAGUCUGUUAAAUUCCACAUGCCACAGGACGCCCACACAGAGUGUUUUGCUUAGCUUGUGUAUUUGGACCAUUAUUAGGGCUACUCAAGGAAAGUAAUCAAGUUGUCCCUGGUGGUAGUGUUCCAAUCGCAUUUCAACGCAACAGUCUUGUUUAUACAACACUGGACACAUAUGUAAAGAUCCCAUGUCCAAGGUUAUGCUUCCUCAGUGUGUUGACAGUAUUUGGUUAGUAAGGUGCCUAUAAAAGAACAACAAGGUGUUUGGCUGCUUUAUCCAUGAGCCACAUCAAAGCUGGCAUUUAGUGUCUCAUCUGCAGAAGAAACCAAAUCUUGCGGCGAGUCGAGUACAAUUUGAUCCUGGGCUACCUCAUCAUAGGGUGGUGGAGGGUUGAGCACUGGAAAGGUAAAGACAAAGAAAGACUUCUUGAAACUAAGAUCAGAUCAUUUCCCCUUUAACUGUGUAUAUGUCAACACCAUGUCUAUGAUGUCUAAGGCAUGACUUGGUGAAAUGAAUAG